UUUCCUUGGCCUGGUUUUGACAGCUUGACAACUGACAGGAAAUAGACUGGUCUGCAAACUUCAGAAUAAACUCGGAGUGACUUUUUUUUCCUUUUAAGUCAAUUGAUCCAAUGCUGUGACACUCCCUGAGUCGUUGUAAGUAUUUCCCUCUCUCAAAAUAUAUCAUAUGAUUAUCAAACACAUCUUUGUGGGGGAUAGGGGUGGCUCAUAACAGCUUUAUCAUUUCCCUCACCAAAGUGUGUAUAGUGUCAAGUACACGCAAAAGAUAUGGGGCCGGAGAUCUCCUUAACCAACUGGGGACUGUAUCAAACAUGAAGAGGAAUCAGUGUGAGAACUGGUGUGAGCUCUCUGUAGAAAGCACACAGCCACGCUCAGAUAUGUAAUUCGGGAAGCAGGCA
rnacentral:lncRNA from 1 species